UUGCAUGUCUAGCAUGCGAGUCAUUGUAGCAUACAAGGCAUACGGCUCAGUAACGCGUAGUCAACCUAACCUAUGGACGGGAAUAACCUCGGGAAACUGAGAAUAAUGCCCGAUAGAACACUAUACCUGGAAUGGUUUGUGUUCCAAAUGAUUUAUCGCCAUAGGAUGGGACUGCGGCCUAUCAGUUUGUUGGUGAGGUAAUGGCCCACCAAGACUAUUACAGGUACGGGCUCUGAGAGGAGUAGCCCGGAGAUGGGUACUGAGACACGGACCCAGGCCCUAUGGGGCGCAGCAGGCGAGAAAACUUUGCAAUGUGCGAAAGCACGACAAGGUUAAUCCGAGUGAUUUGUGCUAAACGAAUCUUUUGUUAGUCCUAGAAACACUAACGAAUAAGGGGUGGGCAAGUUCUGGUGUCAGCCGCCGCGGUAAAACCAGCACCUCAAGUGGUCAGGAUGAUUAUUGGGCCUAAAGCAUCCGUAGCCGGCUCUGUAAGUUUUCGGUUAAAUCUGUACGCUUAACGUACAGGCUGCCGGGAAUACUGCAGAGCUAGGGAGUGGGAGAGGUAGACGGUGCUCGGUAGGAAGUGGUAAAAUGCUUUGAUCUAUCGAUGACCACCUGUGGCGAAAGGCGGUCUACCAGAACACGUCCGACGGUGAGGGAUGAAAGCUGGGGAGCAACCGGAUUAGAUACCCCGGUAGUCCAGCUGUAACUAUGCAACUCAGUGAUGCAUGGCUGUGCGAUUGCAGUGCUGCAAGGAAAGCCGG
rnacentral:rRNA from 1 species